GUACUUACCACUAGGGGGAGCGCCUUGGCCAACACCUCUGCUCAGUGGGGAGCCAGGCCGGCCCCAGGUGGUACCUCCCCCUUGCCCCACAUGAGGGACUUGCGGGGGACUUUGUCUUCAUCAUCCGCAGGGUGGAGCGGGGUGGCUUGGGACCUGGAGUCCGGGAAGAGUCGAAGGCCUGUGGGCGGCCGAGGUCACGCGUGGGCGCCUGCCGGGGGAGGGCGGAACCAGGAGGUUGGCACCGCAGUGCCUGUGUGCACCGAAGCGCAGCAAACACGUCUCGGCCGAGACUGCCCGGCCACCCCAGACUCCAGCGGAGCGUGCGUACUUGGGCAGUCGCGCGCAUCUGAGAACCGCCGAACCGUGCCACAUUUCCGUUCCUUCUGGCCUCGCCCUCAGGGGUCGACCGGCGGCAGAGCGCGGCGCCUCCUGUGCUGAAGAAAGCUCCCUGGCCUCCAGAAACUCAGUCAGUGGUGGGAGGGCCGGAACAGACCCGCGCAGUUAACCAGAUGAUGAUGUUGCUGUAGUAUAGCUUGGAGAGUGCAGAGAAGGAAGCAAGCAAUGCCAGCAAGGAGGAAUCCAGAAGGCUUCCAGGAGAAGUCACCAUUUGUGAUUUGGGCUUGCAUCAGGAGGAGGAAGUUGACAGCCAGGCCCUGCCCUCAGCCUCUGGCACCCCACGUCUCCAAGGCCUGAGCUCCUAUCCCUGGCCUACUGGCUGAGCAGGACGAGAGCCGGAUGAAGACAGGAUGAGCCGUCACCAGGGAUCCUCACCUCGGGGAACUGAGGCCUUAGAUGUGGCUGGGACUGGAGUCAACACUAGAAAGACUGGCAAGAGAAGGGGUCUGCAUUCUGGGACCCCAAACCAAGAUACCAAGAUGAGUCUUCAACAAACUGAUAAUCAGGUUGAGAGGUGAAAUCCACAGAGGGACAUGGGAAUGCUGGGAUUAAUGUCCCCAGUACUACUCUCAACCAAGAAGCACAGGAGUUAGUGGGUAAACAACCUGCUCCUCACCUUGGCUCUCCCGCCCCUUGGUGGGACAACCUGAAGCUGCAGGGCACAGCCCCUGAGAAUGUCGCCAGAAGGCUAGAGCCCCUGUGCCAACCAGACUUGUGCUUCCCAGGAUCUUCUCCCAAAUAAACCACUAUUCCCGAGUCCUGGCCUCAGGGUCUGCUUUAGAGGAACGCAAAUGAACCCAGGGUCCCAAGCUUUGCUACUACCGGCUAUGUGACCAUGAACAAAUGAAAUAACAUGUCUGAGCCUCAA